AACCUCUGUUGAAAAAGAAUGCAAUAUUAACAUCCCAUCUAACGAUCGUGAGAAGCGGUCAUGGCAGCAAAUGCAUCCCUUUUCAUUUUUAAUACGGAGCUCAACCCACAACAUUUUCCUGCUUGAGGUAAAGGACGAGAUGGGGCCAUUUUCUUUCCAAAUUCCAGGAACAUCAUCAAGCUGGAGCAGUGGGUGAAUUUUAAUUCAGGAUCGGUCAAGACAGCACGCCCUACACCACCACAGAGGAUCCUGUUUGUGAGUUGAAGCCUGGUCCCUGAUUGGGGCAGACAGCUCCCCCCACCAAGGAAGAGGAGUUGUAUCUCAGUCCCCUGCAGAUGAUCAGAUUUGGCUGCAGAAAGACAUCAAGGAGGCACUAAAGGAGAGCUGUGAAUAACGUUCCCUCUGCCAUCCACAGCUGCGCGGUGAUAAUGCCGUGAGGUCCGACCGUUUUGACCAGACUUGCGAAGGUCGUAAAUGUGAGGAGUGGUCACAAAGUU